GUACUACUCCCUCCGUCCGGAAAUAUUUGUCCUAAAAAUAGAUAAAAUGGAUGUAUCUAUAACUAAAAUAAGUCCAGAUACAACCAUUUCUAGGACAAGUAUUUUCGAACGGAGGGAGUACAUG
rnacentral:pre_miRNA from 1 species